GAUGAACGCUGGCGGCGUGCCUAAUACAUGCAAGUCGAGCGAACAGACGAGGAGCUUGCUUCUCUGACGUUAGCGGCGGACGGGUGAGUAACACGUGGCUAACCUACCUAUAAGACUGGGAUAACUUCGGGAAACCGGAGCUAAUACAGGAUAAUAUAUUGAACCGCAUGGUUCAAUAGUGAAAGACGGUUUUGCUGUCACUUAUAGAUGGAUCCGCGCCGCAUUAGCUAGUUGGUAAGGUAACGGCCUACCAAGGCUACGAUGCGUAGCCGACCUGAGAGGGUGAUCGGCCACACUGGAACUGAGACACGGUCCAGACUCCUACGGGAGGCAGCAGUAGGGAAUAUUCCACAAUGGGCGAAAGCCUGACGGAGCAACGCCGCGUGAGUGAAGAAGGUCUUCGGAUUGUAAAACUCUGUUAGUUGGGAAGAACAAAAGUGUAAUUAACUAUGCACGUCUUGACGGUACCAAAACAGAAAGCCACGGCUAACUACGUG
rnacentral:rRNA from 1 species